ensembl:lncRNA
GGGGAAUUGUGUUAUAUAUAUAUUUUUUUACAUUUUAUUAGGAAAUGCAGCUCUUUCUCAGGUUCUACUGUGGUAGAGUGGUUGCACAGCCUUUCCUCUACAGGGAGACAGAUUUUCCUGUGUCCACCCUUCUCAAUGGCAAGGCCAGUACAUUGUCAAGGUCUUUGUCAAGGUUUUUCUAAGGUUUUGAUCAGCAACCAUGGUCAAAUAGUUUGCCACGGUGUACUGUCGAUUUAGGGCCAGAGAGAACUGAAUUUUACUUUGUGCUUCUGUUUCCCAAGAAGUAAUGUAGUUUUGUUUUGACUGUGUAAUUUGGUUUAUUCUGAUUGAUUAGAUGUUCUGGUCCUGAGGCUUCAGUGUGUUAGUAGAACAGGUUUGUGAACUCAGCCCCAGGACCAGUUGGACGAGGGGACUGAGGCUUCAGUGUGUUAGUAGAACAGGUUUGGGAACUCAGCCCCAGGACCAGCUGGAUGAGGGGACUGAGGCUUCAAGGUGUUAGUAGAACAGGUUUGUGAACUCAGCCCCAGGACCAGUUGGAUGAGGGGACUUAGGCUUCAGUGUGUUAGUAGAACAGGUUUGUGAACUCAGCCCCAGGACCAGCUGGAUGAGGGGACUGAGGCUUCAGUGUGUUAGUAGAACAGGUUUGUGAACUCAGCCCCAGGACCAGUUGGACGAGGGGACUGAGGCUUCAGUGUGUUAGUAGAACAGGUUAGUGAACUCAGCCCCAGGACCAGUUGGAUGAGGGGACUGAGGCUUCAGUGUGUUAGUAGAACAGGUUAGUGAACUCAGCCCCAGGACCAGCUGGAUGAGGGGUCACUUUUCUUUGCUCGGCUCUUGGCAUUGCAGUCCUUGUUAAUGUUAUGAAAGGGGAUCACUUUAUUUUAGUUGUUUCCAAAAACCGAAUUUCUUGUUUUUGAGUUUUUAUUAUUAGUGGAUAUUGGCCUAAUUCUGCCCUGCAUACAUUGUUUGUAGUUUUCCUCUGGACAUGUAUGAGGAUCUUACAGAAUUCUGCAUGAAGGGUUUCAAUGGGGUGUUUGUCCCUUGGGUGAAAUUUUGUUUUGCAAGUGGACCCCACACCUCGCUGCCAUAAAGUGCAAUUGGUUCAAUGACACAUAAAAUUAGUUUUAUCCAAUUUUUUUUAUAGGUAUUUCAAUUUUCAUUUGUUUUUUUAAUGGCGUGCUUUCUCUCUCAGUUCAUUUACUGCCUCAUUAAAGGUGUCCAGUUCAGCUUAUUUCCAAACCUAAGUAAUUGUAGUGUGUGCAGGCAGGGGUGUUGCCAGAAUUCUGGGGCCCCAUGGAAGAAAAAAAAUACCAGGCCCCUAAUGUAGAAAUCACAACGUUUCAGAUUAAAAUAACGUACUGAACAAUAUGUGUUAUCAAAUGUACUAACUAUAAGCUUCUGCUGCUCUAUACUACAAUUGUGCAGAUUCUAGUUUCCAACUUCAUCCUUUGCCUAUAUUAACAGUACUGCAAACAUUUUUUUGGUUCCUAAUGUUAACAAAAGCUGUCUGUGUCACGAGAUUUGUUAUUCUGCUUCAUUAUAAACAACCACACAAUUGGUGACUUGUUUUUUAAUAUAUGGCAUUGUAGUCCGUUUUAUGAAGAAAUGACCAAUGAUCCCUGUUUCAGAUGAAAUAAUGUAUUACAAACUCUUAUAAACAAGGCUAGCCCUCUUCUGCCUUACAGCGCUUGUAUAUUCAUAAAUAUAUGCCUAAAUAACAUACCCC